rnacentral:rRNA from 1 species
CUACAUACAUAGCGGAGGAAAGAAACUAACAAGGAUUCCCCUAGUAACUGCGAGUGAAGCGGGAAAAGCUCAAAUUAAAAUCUGGCGGUCUUCUGCCCGUCCGAGUUGUAGUCUGGAGAAGCGUUUUCCGCGUUGGACCGUGUACAAGUUUCCUGGAACGGAGCGUCAUAGAGGGUGAGAAUCCCGUCUUUGACACGGACCCCAAUGCUUUGUGAUGCGCUCUCAAAGAGUCGAGUUGUUUGGGAAUGCAGCUCAAAAUGGGUGGUGAAUUCCAUCUAAAGCUAAAUAUUGGCGAGAGACCGAUAGCGAACAAGUACCGUGAGGGAAAGAUGAAAAGCACUUUGGAAAGAGAGUUAAACAGUACGUGAAAUUGUUGAAAGGGAAACGCUUGAAGUCAGUCGCGUCGGCCGGGACUCAGCCUUGCAUCCGCUUGGUGUACUUUCCGGUCGACGGGCCAGCAUCAGUUUUGACCGCGAGAUAAAGGCGGGGGGAAUGUGGCUCUCUCGGGAGUGUUAUAGCCCUUCGUCAGAUGUCGCGGUUGGGACUGAGGAACUCAGCACGCCUUUAUGGCCGGGGCUCGCCCACGUACGUGCUUAGGAUGCUGGCAUAAUGGCUUUAAACGACCCGUCUUGAAACACGGACCAAGGAGUCUAACAUGCCUGCGAGUGUUCGGGUGGAAAACCCGUGCGCGCAAUGAAAGUGAAAGUUGGGAUCCCUGUCGUGGGGUGCACCGACGCCCGGCCCAGACCUUUUGUGACGGAGCUGCGGUAGAGCAUGUAUGUUGGGACCCGAAAGAUGGUGAACUAUGCCUGAAUAGGGUGAAGCCAGAGGAAACUCUGGUGGAGGCUCGUAGCGAUUCUGACGUGCAAAUCGAUCGUCAAAUUUGGGUAUAGGGGCGAAAGACUAAUCGAACCAUCUAGUAGCUGGUUCCUGCCGAGCUCCCUCAGGAGUAAUUAA